GUAAUGCCCAUGACAUUGUAAAGUGACAAGAGCUAGUUUCAGAGCAGCAUGAAUAACAGGAUCUCAGAUCCCUGUAAUUAUUUCAUCCUGGAAUUCACAGCCAGAAAGGAGUUUGCCUGCAGACUGCAAGCUUCUUGCAGGCCGAACUUAGACUUCAUUCUUCAUAACCUUGGCACCAAGCACAGUGCACAGUAUGUGGUGGAAGUCAGCUGCCAUGUUUUGAGCUGCCCUCUGGAAAGACCCUCGUGGUGAGGAACUGGUGGCUCUGGCCAACAUCCAGCGAGGACCUGAGAUCUGCCAGCUGCCACAUGAGUGAGCUGGGAAGUGGAUCUUCUCCUAGCCUUGAGAUAACUGCAAUUCUGGUCAAUUUGAUCAUUGCUCUGCAGGACACCCAGAGGUGUCAGCUGAGUCACAAAUGGAUUUCUGACCCACAGAAACUGAGUGAAAUAAUCACUACAGGUAAGCAAUGAUAUGAAUGGUGAAUGCUGACGCUGUGGGAUUGCUGGGUGUCCUGAGGAAGACCACGUGGAAAGGGAACUCAGAGCUAAUACCUACAAAUAAAUACAUCAAACUGCCAUGAUUAACACAAAGAAAGAAAGAGAAGAUAGGCUUUUCAACACCGAAUAUAUUACGCUAUUGGGCAUUAAAAAUAUGAAAAGUCUGGAAACCUGGAAAUUAAUUGAGAGAGGACAAAAAGAACAGAAAGAACCACCUUUCAAGGAAUUUCUGAAGUUAAAACCCAAAGAGUUAUUUUUCUUUUUAACAUAUGAAUAUCUUU
rnacentral:lncRNA from 1 species